GACGAACGCUGGCGGCGUGCUUAACACAUGCAAGUCGAGCGGAAAGGCCCUUCGGGGUACUCGAGCGGCGAACGGGUGAGUAACACGUGAGUAACCUGCCCUUCACUUUGGGAUAACCCUCGGAAACGGGGGCGUAAUACCGGAUAUGACAUGGGAUCGCAUGGUCUUGUGUGGAAAGUUUUUACGGUUGGGGGAGUGGCGUCGCGGCCUAUCAGCUU
rnacentral:rRNA from 1 species